rnacentral:rRNA from 1 species
UCCUCCGGGGGCUAGCGUUGUUCGGAUUUACUGGGCGUAAAGGGCGCGUAGGCGGAUUUUUAAGUCGGGGGUGAAAUCCCGGAGCUCAACUCCGGAACUGCCUUCGAUACUGAAAGUCUGGAGCACGGUAGAGGUGAGUGGAAUUCCGAGUGUAGAGGUGAAAUUCGUAGAUAUUCGGAGGAACACCAGUGGCGAAGGCGGCUCACUGGACCGUUGCUGACGCUGAGGCGCGAAAGCGUGGGGAGCAAACAGG